CCUACGGGAGGCAGCAGUAGGGAAUAUUGCACAAUGGGGGAAACCCUGAAGCAGCAACGCCGCGUGGAGGAAGAAGGUUUUCGGAUUGUAAAGACCUUUUGUUAGAGAAGAUAAUGACGGUAUCUAACGAAUAAGCACCGGCUAACUCCGUGCCAGCAGCCGCGGUAAUACGGAGGGUGCAAGCGUUACUCGGAAUCACUGGGCGUAAAGAGGGCGUAGGCGGGAUAGCAAGCCAGAUGUGAAAUCCUAGGGCUUAACCAUAGAACUGCUUUUGAAACUGUUAGUCUAGAGUGUGGGAGAGGUAGGUGGAAUUCUUGGUGUAGGGGUAAAAUCCGUAGAGAUCAGGAGGAAUACUCGUGGCGAAGGCGGCCUGCUAGAACAUAACUGACGCUGAGGCGCGAAAGCGUGGGGAGCAAACAGGAUUAGAUACCCCUGUAGUC
rnacentral:rRNA from 1 species